rnacentral:lncRNA from 1 species
CGCUAAUCUUCUACCGUAACUUUGAGCCCAAUUUAUGUAAUGCAAAUAUUAUGUACUAGGGGUUGUCCGCGCUUCGCGCGGAAUAUUUUUUUAUUGUUCUUAAAUAUGAUUUUCUGAUGAUGUGAUUAUGUGAUCAGUGUUUAUUUGUGAAGAACAUUAUUUAAUGUUUUAUUAUGUUAUGUAGAAGUAGGUAAUAAGUUAAUAUAUUAUGUGUUUGUCUUUUUAAUAAUGUGUUGUAGUAUGUAUAAUACUACUUGUUAGUGAUGAAGUGAAUUUCUGAUGUAAAACAUAUUGAAUUUCAAUAACUUUGUUUUUAGGUAUUUGUUGAUCCUAAGAUUAACGACGUCAAAAUUGUAUUUUAAUAUUUCACAUUUUUGAACAUUACUCUUUUUAAGUGUUUUUUGCACUCUCCCCCAUCUUUUGACCUUGAGUCAUCACCAUCUAUGUAUUUUGUUUACCUCUCCGGUGUGCAAUGCUUCUCAC